GGGUCAGUAGGUUGGUCGUGCCACCGGUACGUACUGGUCUCACUGAUUCCUCCUUCCUGAAGAACCGUAAUGCCAUUAAUUUGGUGUUGCGGGGAAACAGGACUGUUACUUUGAGAAAAUUAGAGUGUUUAAAGCAAGCUAACGCUUGAAUACAUUAGUAUGGAAUAAUGAAAUAGGACGAUCGAUCCUAUUUUGUUGGUUUCUAGGAUUGACGUA
rnacentral:rRNA from 1 species